rfam:Mannheimia haemolytica M42548, complete genome.
CUUAUGGGACAAAUGUUUACAUUUGAACGUUGGCUUUGCCAACGGCUCCGAAGGAGCGAGCGUAGCGAGUAUUGAGACCGGGAAAUGUUUCGUUCAGAAACAUUUUUCAG